UACGGGGGGGGCAAGCGUUGUUCGGAAUUACUGGGCGUAAAGGGCUCGUAGGUGGCCAACUAAGUCAGACGUGAAAUCCCUCGGCUUAACCGGGGAACUGCGUCUGAUACUGGAUGGCUUGAGUUUGGGAGAGGGAUGCGGAAUUCCCGGUGUAGAGGUGAAAUUCGUAGAUAUCGGGAGGAACACCAGUGGCGAAGGCGGCGACCUGGGCCAAUAUUGACGCUGAGGUGCGAAAGCGUGGGGAGCAAACAGG
rnacentral:rRNA from 1 species